rnacentral:rRNA from 1 species
UACGUAGGGUGCAAGCGUUAAUCGGAAUUACUGGGCGUAAAGCGUGCGCAGGCGGUUUUGUAAGUCUGUCGUGAAAUCCCCGGGCUUAACCUGGGAAUGGCGAUGGAGACUGCAAGGCUAGAGUUUGGCAGAGGGGGGUAGAAUUCCAGGUGUAGCGGUGAAAUGCGUAGAUAUCUGGAGGAACACCGGUGGCGAAGGCGGCAUCCUGGACCGGCAUUGACGCUGAGGCGCGAAAGCUAGGGGAGCAAACGGG